rnacentral:rRNA from 1 species
GACGAACGCUGGCGGCGUGCUUAACACAUGCAAGUCGAACGAGAAAGCACCUUCGGGUGUGAGUACAGUGGCGAACGGGUGAGUAACACGUGGGCAACCUGCCCUGGAGACUGGGAUAACGUUCCGAAAGGGACGCUAAUACCGGAUGAUGCGCGACCUGCCAAGUCGGUCGCGCCAAAUGGUAGCUUCGGCUUCUACUCUGGGAUGGGCCCGCGCCGGAUUAGCUUGUUGGUGGGGUAAUGGCCUACCAAGGCGACGAUCCGUAGCUGGUCUGAGAGGACGAUCAGCCACACUGGGACUGAGACACGGCCCAGACUCCUACGGGAGGCAG